rnacentral:rRNA from 1 species
GGAAGCAAAGCAGCGAUGUGGAGNAACCCCUAAAAACGUUCUCAGUUCAGAUUGCAGGCUGCAACCCGCCUGCAUGAAGUCGGAAUUGCUAGUAAUCGCGGAUCAGCAUGCCGCGGUGAAUACGUUCCCGGGCCUUGUACACACCGCCCGUCACACCAUGAGAGUCGGGAACACCCGAAGUCCGUAGUCUAACCGCAAGGGGGACGCGGCCGAAGGUGGGUUCGAUAAUUGGGGUGAAGUCGUAACAAGGUAUC